rnacentral:rRNA from 1 species
UAAGGAAUAUUGGUCAAUGGGCGGAAGCCUGAACCAGCCAUGCCGCGUGGAGGAUGAAGGUCCUCUGGAUUGUAAACUUCUUUUAUCAGGGGCGAAAAAAGGCCAUUCUUGGUCGUCUGACGGUACCUGAUGAAUAAGCACCGGCUAACUCCGUGCCAGCAGCCGCGGUAAUACGGAGGGUGCAAGCGUUAUCCGGAUUUACUGGGUUUAAAGGGAGCGUAGGCGGGUAUGUAAGUCAGUGGUGAAAGCCCUCAGCUUAACUGAGGAACUGCCGUUGAUACUAUAUAUCUUGAAUAUCGUUGAGGUUUGCGGAAUGGGUCAUGUAGCGGUGAAAUGCAUAGAUAUGACCCGGAACACCUAUUGCGAAGGCAGCAGGCUAAGCGAUGAUUGACGCUGAGGU